GCGAGAGUUGUGGAGACUGAUGACCUCCAUUCAAUGACAACAGGAAGGGCAUCGGCAGUAUCAGUAAAGGCUGCCCCUCACUGAUUAAACAACACGCUUUAAGCCCAGCUGAGACAGGUGAUUUGUAAGGGUGAGAGGUGAAUUCAGCUUUCAUGUCCAUUUAGUCUUUGAUACCU
rnacentral:sRNA from 1 species